UCCAUGGAAUGAACUUCCCAGAGUUGUGCAU
rnacentral:piRNA from 1 species